rnacentral:lncRNA from 1 species
UCCAACCGAUGGAGGGGUAGCCAUUUAGGGAUGUCAACCGUUUAAACCCACUAAUAAUAUAGUAGUUUAAAAUUUUGUUUUUUCUUCUUCAGAGAAAUGAACUAUGGAGCUAGCUAAAGCUAACCAAGCGGGACUUAUAGGCGCCCCUUAUUUGCCAUUUACAUCCCUAUAGCCACUUAACAAGCACAACCUUAAAGCUUACAUACAUUAGCUACAAAAUCACCCCUAUAGCCACUUAACAAGCACAACCUUAAAGCUUACAUACAUUAGCUACAAAAUCACCAUACAUAACAAUCCAUAUACAAUUGUGAUUAUAGGAUGAUGAUGAUAGAGUACAGUCCGUGUUCUUCAAACUAUAGACAGGGAGGCCUUCCUUUUUUUUCCAAGGAAAGGACAACUCCCUCGUAGCUAA